rnacentral:rRNA from 1 species
UACGUAGGGGGCAAGCGUUGUCCGGAUUUAUUGGGCGUAAAGAGCGUGUAGGCGGCCAGGUAGGUCCGUUGUGAAAACUCGAGGCUCAACCUCGAGACGCCGAUGGAAACCAUCUGGCUAGAGUCCGGAAGAGGAGAGUGGAAUUCCUGGUGUAGCGGUGAAAUGCGCAGAUAUCAGGAAGAACACCCGUGGCUAAGGCGGCUCUCUAGUACGGUACUGACGCUGAGGCGCGAAAGCGUGGGGAGCGAACAGG